rnacentral:rRNA from 1 species
GACAGAGGGUGCAAACGUUGUUCGGAAUUACUGGGCGUAAAGCGCGUGUAGGCGGCUACGUCAAGUCGGAUGUGAAAGCCCUCGGCUCAACCGGGGAAGUGCACCCGAAACUGCAAAGCUAGAGUCUCGGAGAGGAUCGUGGAAUUCUCGGUGUAGAGGUGAAAUUCGUAGAUAUCGAGAGGAACACCGGUGGCGAAGGUGGCGAUCUGGACGAUGACUGACGCUGAGACGCGAAAGCGUGGGGAGCAAACAGG